AAGCUAUAUUCGACCACCUUCAAUCUCUCUGGCUUUCGCUCUUCCUCUCCGCGGCCCUUUAUCUAUAUAAUCGAGGAGCAGCAACAUUAACCUUUAACAUCUUUGCGGCAGAAAAAACAUCCCAUAAAUUGCUUUCAUUGUUGGAUUUUUCAAUAUAAGCAAAAAAAAUGCCAGCCCAGAAACGCCCUUACGAGACCCAUCAAAAGGACGAUGAUCCUCUGCAGCGAGACCAACCCAACAACCACCG
rnacentral:misc_RNA from 1 species